rnacentral:rRNA from 1 species
GACGAACGCUGGCGGCGCGCCUAACACAUGCAAGUCGAGCGAGCGAGAGAGAGCUUGCUUUCUCAAGCGAGUGGCGAACGGGUGAGUAACGCGUGAGGAACCUGCCUCAAAGAGGGGGACAACAGUUGGAAACGACUGCUAAUACCGCAUAAGCCCACGACCCGGCAUCGGGUAGAGGGAAAAGGAGCAAUCCGCUUUGAGAUGGCCUCGCGUCCGAUUAGCUAGUUGGUGAGGUAACGGCCCACCAAGGCGACGAUCGGUAGCCGGACUGAGAGGUUGAACGGCCACAUUGGGACUGAGACACGGCCCAGACUCCUACGGGAGGCAGCAGUGGGGAAUAUUGCACAAUGGGGGAAACCCUGAUGCAGCGACGCCGCGUGGAGGAAGAAGGUCUUCGGAUUGUAAACUCCUGUUGUUGAGGAAGAUAAUGACGGUACUCAACAAGGAAGUGACGGCUAACUACGUG